rnacentral:pre_miRNA from 1 species
GAGCGUCACACCACCCGAGCAUCACUGAAGUGCUCUGACACUAGGACGUGUGGCUGCCAUGGGUUGGUGGGAACCAGGCUCGCCCAGGAUCAGUGUUACCAGCAUUCAGUGUGGUCUCAGGUGCGCACCUA